UAGUACUCCACGUCGCGAUCUCGCAGAAGGGGUAGUAGUUUGGUGUCGUGACCAAGCUUUUCGCGCUUUUGCAAAGCAGCAUGAACACACCAUCGCCGCUGGCGUUGUCUCUUCUGCGAAUGCUUCUGCGCGUCAUGCAUCGCCAGAAAGGUGCUUGCCAACAAGCCUAGCAGUACUGCCUCUUCUUGAUUAGGGUUCAUUCUUGUCUUUCCAAGAAUG
rnacentral:lncRNA from 1 species